rnacentral:rRNA from 1 species
CACAUGUUUACCCCGUUUGUAUUUCGGAAUGAGAUUUCCAGGUCGAAACCCCCUCCGCCUCCGAUAAUCAUCGCCUUCUUGGUUAAUGCAGCCUGUAUAAUCCCCUCUUUUUUAAGACCACUCUGUCCAAUACUCUACCUCAUAUACUAGUGCUAAUGCUCAAAUAAUACUACUAGUGCAGUGCAGAGACAAAGGUACCAGAUCAGAGCGCCUCCAGCUUGCUUGCUUGCGGGCGUCGCCUACCUCCACUCCGCUUUUUCUCCGCGCGAGCGAGAAAAUGCUGGCGCACUCGCCGAAAGUGGCAUGUGGUGGGCGGCCUGCUACCGUGCCGUAGCCCCGCCCCCCGCCCGGUGCGCUCCCUCCGUUCCAUUCCAUCCACACCGUCCCGUUCCACUCCAUUCCUUUCCUUUCCACCAAGGAAGCAACCAAAGCGGAGCCGACGCUGACCCGGGUAGGGGUAGCUUGGGUUGGGCGAGCUGAUUCCCGCUCCACGGAAAAGAAAAGAAAAGAGAAGAAAACAAGAGCAAAGCAGCCCACGCCCACCGAUUCCUUUCUUCCCCGCCCGCCCAAAGCCGAAGGAUGGGCGACAGCGCAGGGCCGACCCAGACCCAGACCCAGGCGACGCUGUGAGGAUCGAUUCUCCAGGUGGCUGUUUCUAUGUGGGAGGAGACUGGAGAGAAGAGGCCGGAGAGAGAGGGGAAAGCGGCCGGCUGCUGAGGCUUCCCCCCGGUCGUGAUCUGUGAUUCAUUCGUCAGGUAGUGAUCCAAGAGAUUAUUAACUGUACAAAACAGUACAAGAGACAAGAAACAGCAGAUUGUUCUGAAAUGGGGAGGCGAAGCAACAGGCGGUCCGCGGCGCAGGACGACACCAAUGUCGGCUGCGUCUGGGGCCUAAUGCGCAUGGUCUAUUUCCGCCGCGACCCCAGAUUCCUGAUGGACGCGAAGCAGGCGGGCGGGAGGCAUAAGCUCCGGGAGAUCACAGACGGAAGGGACUCAGGGAAGAGGCCUAGGGAUUUUGAGGAAAUCGAAAAAGAUGAUAACAUAGAAAACGGCCCUUUGCAGCAACCAACCGUCAAAAAACUUAUGGAGGAAGAAUUGGGGCGUGUGAAUCUUUUGAGGACAGUUCCAAACAACGAGGUUCAGAGAAGAUUAGCUGAUCUGGGAAAUGACCUAUCUCUUGAUGGAAAUUCAGAGCAUACAAAUAACACAACAGGAACUUUAAAUCACGGCACGGAUAUCUCCGUGUCUCGUUUAUCUGGGUCAGUGGAUUCUGAGGGUUCUAAGAGCUUGAACCACGCUGAAUAUGAUCUCGAAUCUGUCUUGGCAAGCUUCUUAGGUGAGAUUUAUAGGUGCCACAAUGAAUGUCCACAUGAUGAUUGCAAGAGUAAUAGUGAAUUGUGUCCUUCAUUGAAGUCCCUAAUCCAUAAGAAGCUUAAUGACUUAAGCAAUCUUCAAUCCAAUAUUGAUUGUGAGCAACCUCAAGAGAGCAAGGGAGAAAAGCUACUGGCUGGUAAUGGCAUUUCUAGCAGCAGGACUGUUCAGUCCAAGGAAUUCAAGGAUGCUCUGGAGAUACUGGGUUCAAACAAGGAACUUUUCCUGAAGGUGCUUCAGAAGCCUAAUUCACAUAUGUUGGACAAUAUCAGAAACCACCAAAACAGUAGAUUGACAACCAAGUUAGAGCCCAAUAAAAAUCUUGGAGAAACUAAUUCCCUUGAAGAGACAAGAGGCUCAAAUCAUGACUUGUCUGCACCGGCACAGGCUAAGGAGAGCAAACAUAUGUUCUUCUGGAGGAAAGACAAGUCGAAAAUAAAGCAGAUGCUACCAGAAGGAAUUAAUGGAUCUCAGCCUGUUAGCAAAAUAGUUAUUCUGAAGCCAAAUCCAGGAAAAGGAAUUGAUCAGACAGUGACAAGCAGUGCAAGAUAUUUACAUCAGCAACCUAGUACCUCUCAAACUCCAGAGUACAGUGGGAGGGAAACCUCAAAAUUUUCAAUCAAAGAAGUCAGGAGGAGAUUCAGAAUUGUGACUGGUGAGACAAGAAGAGAAAGAAAUGCAGCACCUGCAGACGACCUUCAAAGAGUUUCACGUUGGCAUUCCAUGAUUGCAACGAAGAAGAGUUCUGGGUAUCACACACAAGGGAGCUUGGCAGACAAAUCUGCAUCAAAUUUUAAGAACGACAUCGCCAGACCUUCAACCAGCAGCAAGCAAAAGCAACAAAAUGGCGGCGAGACUGAAAUUAGUGGUCAUAUAGCAGUGCCACAAGAUGAUUCUAUCUUCUACAAGGAGGCCAAGAAGCAUUUAACAGAUAUGCUAAAGGAUAACAAUAAGUCCGGCAACUAUCCAACAGCCCAGGUCUCAAAAUCCUUGGAAGGAAUGCUUUCGCUCCCUCACUGCGAUGUGUCAUCUCCUAGGAAUAGCCGUAGUGGAAAAUGCCACACUGAUCUCUCACCUGAAGAGACGGAUUCUUGCCUUGUACCCAUGGUUGACAGUGAAGAAACUACACAAGAGAGCAGUCAAUCAUGGGACGACUCACUGAGCAACACUGCACAUUGUCCUAGUAUAGCAGUUGAUGAUCAGGUGGUUGUUCAGGACAAAUGUAGCAUGAAAGAAGAACCACAAGAAGGACAAGGAGAUGUUACUGAUGUGGUAGACACCAUAUGUAUGGAAGAAAUUGGAAAAAUAGAUUGUUCUGAAACAAUCUGCAACACACAAUCCAUCUCAGCAGAACUAUGCAGAGAUAGCCCGCAGCCAGAUAUGAUAGAGGAAGCAGAGCAAGGAAAAGAACCUGUUAAAAUCUUGUUGAGCUAUCCUGAGAGCAUUGUUGAAUUGGAGCAGCAAGAACCAGGAACACCUGAACCAAGAGCAUCGGCCAAAUUUAUCUCAGAUUGUUCCCCCGAGCUAAGCCAUGACAAGCAAGAACAGCCCAGUCCUGUGUCUGUUCUUGAUUCAUUCUAUGAAGAUGUUGCAGAUCCUGAAUGCGAAAACAUUAAACAAUGUGAUCUGCAUGAAGAGUUGCGUGGAGCCCUGUACUUCCCAGAUAACGAAUCAGAUCUAAAGGUCUUUUGGGAGGACAAGAAUGUCCGAUUAGAUUAUAUAAAGUUGGUUUUGGAGCUCUCGGAAUUAUGCGCAGAACAGAAUUUAGAGGUAUGGUAUCUGGAGGAUGAGUUAAUCAGCCCUUGCCUGUUGGAAGAACUACCAAACCAAGGUGAUCAAAUAGAUGAUCUGAAAAUUCUGUUUGACUGUAUCUGCGAAGCUCUAACAGAGAUCCAGGAGAGAUAUUUUAGACUCUCUUCUUGGUUGUCGUUUCUCAAACACGACAUACGGGCACCUCCAGUGGGAGAAGACCUCGUCGCAGAAGUUGACAAAUAUGUUGACGAUUACCUCCGACAUAGUUUUCCAAGUACAUUAGACCAUACAAUAAAAAAGGAUUUCGAAGUUCGGACAUGGAUGGACAUUCGGUCGAAGACUGAAGGGAUCGUUGUGGAGAUAUGGGAGUUUGUGUUAGACGAACUUAUCGAUGAGGCUGUUUUCGAUUUGUGGAUUUGAAGCUCUGAUCAGGUCCCCUGUCGGUGGUGCUUUGUGAGGGGUAUAUACACUAGGUAUAACUGUAGAGGUUUUCAUGCUGACAAUAACACCAUUUUACGUGGCAGAAUAACACGGGCUGUUUUGUUUGGCCUGUUUGAGUAAAGUAAUGAGAGUGUGAACUUCAACGACGUCUUGCUCGUCGAAGUGUGUAUAACUGCAGCGGAAGAAACUUCUCUGAUGCAUGACAGCGGAAGUUUCGACCUGCAAACCUCCCAGCCGUGCAGCUUGUCUAGACUAGAUGAAGUUUGGGCAGCCCGUCACAGCCAUGCCUCUUGGACAGCUAAAAUGCACAGCAGUCUGAAGGCUUUGCGGAUUUUCCUCUUGUACAUUGUGAUCAGAGGUGAUCACACAUGUAUAUUUUUUUCUUUUUGUGUUUGUGUGUACAUGUGUAAUAGUUUUUCGAGAAUCACACAUGUGUAACAGUUACCAUAAUACUAUAUGACAGAUCAAAUGCUACUGCAUGGUCUUCAUUUUGCGAAAUAUCGGUGUCUUUUCAGUUAAGUUGGACCACGCUUUGUUUCCUUGGAUAAACAUGUGCGCUGCCUGUAUUUGCUGCUACUCAAAGUGGAUGUCAACUACAUGUGUGUGUGUGUAUGAAGCGCAGUGCAUUUGAUCAUCAACCUUUCUAAUGUUAUCGCAGUAAAUUCU